ensembl:lncRNA
CUUACCUUACCUUACCUUACCUUACCUUACCUUACCUUACCUUACCUUACCUUACCUUACCUUACCUUACCAUUCCUUCACCUCGCCUUAGGUUGACCCCUUCUAUCCCUCUGAUUAGGGUUACAAAAUUCUGGUAACUUUCUCAAAAGUUUUCAGAAAUCCAGGUUGGGAGAUACUUGGAAUUAGGAAUGAAUCAACUGUAAAUCCAGGUUGGGAGAUACUUGGAAUUAGGAAUGGAUCAACUGUAAAUCCAGGUUGGGAGAUACUUGGAAUUAGGAAUGAAUCAACUGUAAAUCCAGGUUGGGAGAUAUUUGGAAUUAGGAAUGGAUCAACUGUAAAUCAAGGUUGGGAGAUACUUGGAAUUAGGAAUGGAUCAACUGUAAAUCCAGGUUGGGAGAUACUUGGAAUUAGGAAUGGAUCAACUGUAAAUCCAGGUUGGGAGAUACUUGGAAUUAGGAAUGGAUCAACUGUAAAUCCAGGUUGGGAGAUACUUGGAAUUAGGAAUGGAUCAACUGUAAAUCCAGGUUGGGAGAUACUUGGAAUUAGGAAUGGAUCAACUGCAAAUCCAGGUUGGGAGAUACUUGGAAUUAGGAAUGGAUCAACUGUAAAUCCAGGUUGGGAGAUACUUGGAAUUAGGAAUGGAUCAACUGUAAAUCCAGGUUGGGAGAUACUUGGAAUUAGGAAUGGAUCAACUGUAAAUCCAGGUUGGAAGAUACUUGGAAUUAGGAAUGGAUCAACUGUAAAUCCAGGUUGGGAGAUACUUGGAAUUAGGAACGGAUAAACUGUAAUCCAGGAAUCCUACAACCAGGAUUUCUGGAAACCUGGGAUUGUUGGGAAAGUUACCAGAAUUUUGCAACCCUACUUAUGCAUCUUAUAUCAUAGCUGUAGUCUUACCGACGGACCACUCUACAGGCAGAGUUUAGUGUUAUAAUUGUAUCAUCUUUCAAAUAGAUCAAUGUAGAUUUCAUCCAAGCAUUUAGAUUUCCUCCCUUUUCCAUAUAAAUGUAAUUCUGCCAAAAAUGUCUGUCACAGACUGGACCAUAUUGCAUUUUCUGGACCAUAUUCCUCCAAUACAAACUGCCAGACCACAUUGUCUAUUGCAAAGUGUUUUAGUCUUUAUUACAGCUUUUUAAAUGUACAAAACUUAGAUUUUAAGAAUGACAGCUAUUAUCUUAGAGAUGGGGCCUUGUAUCAGUUCAGGGUUGGUCACCAGUAGUGCUGUUGUUGGAUGCAUGAUGACACCUUCCGCUACAUUGGAGUCCAGUUUGCUGUGUGUUUAUAUUAAAGUGGAUAAAUGAUGCUUCUAACUUCCAGAAUCUUCCUUCCGUCAUUCCAGUAAAUGUGUAGCAAUAAAACAGUGUGUGUUCUUCUGAAACGGAAUCUCCCCUGCCCUAUCCUGCUUGCAGUAGCAGUGUUGCCGACUGUUUUUCAGUGAGAAUCACUAUUGGCUCCUUGAUUUGUUGCUAGAAGUCCUUAGAUUACGUUUUGCCGUGAGGUCAGCUGGCUCAGUAGCUCAGCUCUGAUUGAAUAAUGCUGUUAGAGCAUCCUGAUUGGAUAGCUGUUUAUUGUAAGAGCAUCCUGAUUGGAUAGAUGUUUAUUCAUUGUAAGAGAAUCCUGAUUGGAUAGCUGUUUAUUGUAAGAGCAUCCUGAUUGGAUAUAUGUUUAUUCAUUGUAAGAGAAUCCUGAUUGGAUAGCUGUUUAUUGUAAGAGCAUCCCGAUUGGAUCGUGCUGUUAAUGAGCAUCCUGAUUGGAUAGUGCUCUUAUAAGAGCAUCCCAAUUGGAUAGUGCUCUUUAAGAGCAUCCUGAUUGGACCGUGAUGUUAACUGCAAGAGCAUCCUAAUUGGAUAGUGCUGUUAUCUGCAAGAGCAUCCUGAUUGGAUAGUGCUGUUAACUUGUAAGAGCAUCCUGAUUGGAUAGUGCUGUUAACUUGUAAGAGCAUCCUGAUUG